CGGCAACCAGUGGGACCUCAUGCACCGCUACCUCCAGAUCCUCGAGCUGGAGGAGCCCAUCGCGCGGAUGAAGGUCAUCCAUGUCGCCAGCACCAAAGGGAAGGCAUCUACAUCAUCAACCUGGGC